rnacentral:rRNA from 1 species
GACGAACGCUGGCGGCAUGCUUCAUACAUGCAAGUCGAACGAAAUGGCGGACGGGUGAGUAAUAUGUAGGAAAUCUGCCCUAGAGAGGGGGACAACAGAAGGAAACUUCUGCUAAUACCCCAUACUCUAGGAUGAGCCUGCAUCUGAUUAGCUAGUUGGUGGUGUAAUGGACUACCAAGGCGACGAUCAGUAGCUGGUUUGAGAGGAUGAUCAGCCACAAUGGGACUGAGACACGGCCCAUACUCCUACGGGAGGCAGCAGUAGGGAAUUUUGCGCAAUGGGCGAAAGCCUGACGCAGCAAUGCCGCGUGAAUGUUAAGCCCUUCGGGGUGUAAAGUUCUGUCAGUGGGGACGCGGUACCCACAGAGGAAGCACCGGCUAACUCCGUGCCAGCAGCCGCGGUAAUACGGAGGGUGCAAGCGUUGUCCGGAAUCAUUGGGCGUAAAGAGUUCGUAGGCGGUUUGUUAAGUUAGAUGUUAAAUACCGAGGCUCAACCUCAGCACGGCAUUUGAUACUGGCAGACUUGAAUGCGGUAGAGGUAAAGGGAAUUCCUGGUGUAGCGGUGGAAUGCGUAGAUAUCAGGAGGAACAUCGGUGGCGUAAGCGCUUUACUGGGCCGUAAUUGACGCUGAGGAACGAAAGCCAGGGUAGCGAAUGGGAUUAGAUACCCCAGUAGUCCUGGCCGUAAACGAUGGAUACUAGGUGUUGCGCAGUGCCGUAGCUAACGCGAUAAGUAUCCCGCCUGGGGAGUACGCACGCAAGUGUGCAACUCAAAUGAAUU